GUUACUCACGUUGAUUCAUUAACGUGGGCUGUUUGCUGACUGCCUCUGUAAAUAGGCUAGUAGCAUUAGCGUCGAUGAGUAGUUUGAUGCAAUGUUUGAAAUAAGUUAUGUACAGCUGAAGAAUUACUACCUGUACGGUAUACUGACGGUGCAAAGUGUUGAUGUCGGAGAAAAUCCUGAGCAGUGACGCACGCCUUGCUUUUUUGUUGGAAAGGUAAGAGGGUUAAUUACCGCUCUCUGAAAGUCACUUGUACUAGCCUACGUAAAACUUUAUGAUGUUGCUCAUCCACGUCUAUAGAUGGCAGUGCAGGGUCUAACAUUAUAUUUUAUAUCAUUACAUCACAGUUACAGACUUAACGGACAACAAACGCCAGGUUUUAAUCAUCAGGACGACUCGUCGUAAACAACAUCUCUAAAAAUGAACACAGGAGAGAACACUGUUCAGAUGAGUUGCUGUGAAACUUGGGUACAUGCUUAAAGAGAGAUGACAGAGCAUCCGUCAAUGUAGGCGGAUAAUCGUCAUUGACAGGCUGAAAUCAUUAACUAAAUGUAAGCAAAUUUCAAGAGCACUUGUGCUGGACCAGAGAGUGCGCACAGAAUAAAACUAUGAUGAAUUUAUGAGAGAAGCAAACAGAGACCUUCUGACAUCAAUAAAUUGGCACUGUACGAAGACCUCCCAAUGGUAUAAAGAAGGCUUCUAUUACAUGUUGAAGAGGCAAAAUGCACAAAAGCACAGAGAGCUUCAUAUAGAAAUGCUUGAUGUGUGACAUAUAUUCAUGGCACAGAAGUAGUUGAGUAAAUCUUACAAUGCAAUUUGAAGAUGUUUGAUGUAAUUUCUUUGGCACCUGCCUCAUAGGAUCCACAUCGCCUAACCUGCACACGUCAGUUCAUUACUCAAGGAGUCCUCAAGGACAGUGUCUCUUCAAUAUUCAAUGACUACAGUGCAAUAACUUGUUUUCUUGGAAAUGUAUAUGAACAUGUAAUGGCUCCCAGCGGACACUGCAAGAAUAUUAUUGUAGCGAGCCAGAAAUGAAGCUGUUGCUGUCCAACUGAGUUUUUCUUUUUCACACCAACAUAUCCAAGACACUUUUAUUAAUGAAUCUAAAUCUAUUCAGUAAGUCACUUUCUAUGUUAUUAUAAGCCACACAUGGAUUUUUCUUGAUAAUAGUGCCACAUCCUGACUAUGUUAUGAUUCUAGUAGACAUUGUACAUUUCAAAAGCUCUUCCCCACCUAUAUACCUCAUUACACAGCACAGCGGUGGCUUAUAUCAGCUACCUUGAGAGAUAAAAACAGUUUAACAGAAUUUAAAGUGAAACUGUCCAUUUUAAAAAGGAAAAGUAGAUGUAAAUACUACAUUAUGGCUGCGAAAUUUCAAAUAGGGCCGACAGGUGGUGCUUCUUACUGAUACACUCAAUGUUAUAUAAAUUUUGAACUACAUUUGUGGCAAAAUAGGCAGUGCAGAAACUUCAACCCCUUUGAACUUGACGGCUGGUCAUGGUUCAAUGGUUUUUAUAAUUGUGGUUUGAACAUCUAAGCAGUGAUGGUGCAUUUAAAGUCCCCCCCCCCACAUAAUUAUAGAGUGAAAUAUCAUAUACUGUAGGCUGGGCGAUGUAGGGAAAUUCUGUGCUUCUUGUGAGAAAUGGAGAAGGGGUUGAUUUCUUCAUUCAGUCAUUAGAGAGCAAUACUUCAGCAAUACUUUAGCUUCCACUGGGAACUUUUAUAAUGUUAUGCUUAAU